GAGAGGUGGCUGAGUGGUCGAAAGCGGCACCCUGCUAAGGUGUUGAACCCUUCACGGGGUUCCGAGGGUUCGAAUCCCUCUCUCUCC
rnacentral:tRNA from 1 species